GAGUUUGAUCGUGGCUCAGGAUGAACGCUAGCUACAGGCUUAACACAUGCAAGUCGAGGGGCAGCAUUUUAGUUUGCUUGCAAACUAAAGAUGGCGACCGGCGCACGGGUGAGUAACACGUAUCCAACCUGCCGAUAACUCGGGGAUAGCCUUUCGAAAGAAAGAUUAAUAUCCGAUAGUAUAUUAAAACCGCAUGGUUUUACUAUUAAAGAAUUUCGGUUAUCGAUGGGGAUGCGUUCCAUUAGUUUGUUGGCGGGUAACGGCCCACCAAGACUACGAUGGAUAGGGGUUCUGAGAGGAAGGUCCCCCACAUUGGAACUGAGACACGGUCCAAACUCCUACGGGAGGCAGCAGUGAGGAAUCUUCCACAAUGGGCGCAAGCCUGAUGGAGCAAC
rnacentral:rRNA from 1 species